rnacentral:rRNA from 1 species
GCUCAGGACGAACGCUGGCGGCGUGCUUAAUACAUGCAAGUAGAACGCUGAAGAAAGGAGCUUGCUUCUUUUGGAUGAGUUGCGAACGGGUGAGUAACGCGUAGGUAACCUGCCUUGUAGCGGGGGAUAACUAUUGGAAACGAUAGCUAAUACCGCAUAACAGCUUUUGACACAUGUUAGAACCUUGAAAGAUGCAAUUGCAUCACUACGAGAUGGACCUGCGUUGUAUUACUUAGUAGGUAGGGUAACGGCCUACCUAGGCGACGAUACAUAGCCGACCUGAGAGGGUGAUCGGCCACUCUGGGACUGAGACACGGCCCAGACUCCUACGGGAGGCAGCACUAGGGAAUCUUCGGCAAAGGGGGCAACCCUGACCGAGCAACGCCGCGUGAGUGAAGAAGGUUUUCGGAUCGUAAAGCUCUGUUGUAAGAGAAGAAUGUGUGUGAGAGUGGAAAGUUCACACAGUGACGGUAACUUACCAGAAAGGGACGGCUAACUACGUGCCAGCAGCCGCGGUAAUACCUAGGUCCCGAGCGUUGUCCGGAUUUAUUGGGCGUAAAGCGAGCGCAGGCGGUUUAAUAAGUCUGAAGUUAAAGGCAGUGGCUUAUCCAUUGUUCGCUUUGGAAACUGUUAAACUUGAGUGCAGAAGGGGAGAGUGGAAUUGCCAUGUGUAGCGGUGAAAUGCGUAGAUAUAUGGAGGAACACCGGUGGCGAAAGCCGGCUCUCUGGUACUGUAACUGACCGCUGAGGCUCGAAA